AGUGAACGCUGGCGGUAGGCCUAACACAUGCAAGUCGAACGGCAGCACAGUAAGAGCUUGCUCUUACGGGUGGCGAGUGGCGGACGGGUGAGGAAUACAUCGGAAUCUACUUUUUCGUGGGGGAUAACGUAGGGAAACUUACGCUAAUACAGCAUACGACCUACGGGUGAAAGCAGGGGAUCUUCGGACCUUGCGCGAUUGAAUGAGCCGAUGUCGGAUUAGCUAGUUGGCGGGGUAAAGGCCCACCAAGGCGACGAUCCGUAGCUGGUCUGAGAGGAUGAUCAGCCACACUGGAACAGAGGCACGUUCGAGACUCCGACGGUAGGCAGCAGUGGGGAAUAUUGGACAAGGGGCGCGAGCCUGAUCCAGCCAUACCGCGUAGGUGAAGAAGGCCUUCGGGUUGUAAAGCCCUUUUGUUGGGAAAGAAAAGCAGCAGGUUAAUACCCCGCUGUUCUGACGGUACCCAAAGAAUAAGCACCGGCUAACUUCGUG
rnacentral:rRNA from 1 species